CCAGCAGACUUCGUAGCAAACAUUCCCCUCCGUCCGUUACUUGUUCGCCGCGCAGCCUGCUGGGA
rnacentral:precursor_RNA from 1 species